UUUGUAAGUGGUGACCUUAGCUUAGCUCAUACUUACAUAAGCAUAUUCACUCAAUGCACAAAUGCACUUUUUCCUGCCCCACUGUGUUUACGCCAACACUAUUGUUCUUUUCUGUCCUUGCAGAUUUUGCAGUGUCAAGGAUUGAGGUGCGGGACAGAAGAGAGCCACGAUACGGAGUACAGCGUCUUCACUGAGGGCACUGGACAACUUCUCUUUCUCUGUUCUUCUCUUUCUGCCCUUCUCUUCUUCUCUUCUCUUGUCUCUCCUCUCCAAUGAUCAGGAUAUCACCCAAUCUCAAUGCAGACACCAAGUGUACAGGAUUCUGUAAGAUAAAAAACAACAACAACAACAACAACCAACCACACUGGGAUAAACUAUAUUUUGGAAAAAAAAAAUUAUACAAGGUUGUACAGUGCAUUUAACACUUUCUCAAUGAAUACCUUUAUGAUGUAAAAAAGAAAAAAAAAAGAAAAAAAACUUUACUGUAUUUAAAGUCUUGAUUUUUUGGUGAAAAGUUCAAUCCUUAAGAUGAAGAACCAUAAUGCCCAUUUAUGAUUUUACUGUGGUUAAUUUGACUUAUUGCUAUUUACCAAUGUUGAGUUUGUGUGUUGUGUCCAUUCAUAGCUUUCAGAGAGCACAUUCUCAAUACUCCUCACACACUGGUAGAGUGGAGACUCGCAAUAUGGCAGCAAGUCCAUUAUUAAAUAUUUAAAACACUUCAACAGGGACUCGUAUGGCUCUUCAUCUAAGGACUUUAAAAUGUGAGAAAUUUAGAGGAGUACCCCAUUGCAGCUUUACAGAACCUAACAUCUCUGGGAGAUUCUCUACUGUACAUACUUAACGAUGUAUAUAACAUUACUGCUGACAACAACAGCCGACAACAAAACCUCAUCUGACUCUAAUGCAUUUGCGUAUAGUAUUUCUACCCUUGGUUUCAGUGUUCCUCGUGCUGGAAGAGCAUCAGAGUAUGUGCAAAUUCAUUGUGUUUCUUUGACUCCUCCCUUCUGAAGCUACAGAUGGGCUUAAAAAACGGAUUCCUGAGCUAAAUAUUCACCAGAGAAGCAGAGCAACGUGAAUCAAAGUGAUCAUGUAUGGUCACUUUGAUUUCUUUUUUAAUGGCACAGGAAAUGAGACACAUCCCUUGCAUUAGCAUGGCCUCAACAGAAGCCCCUUGUUGUAGUAUGUCCCCAUUGAGUAUGGUGUACAUUUUAAGCUGUUUAACUUAACAGCAGCUGUCUAUUCAGAGUUAAUCUUUUUUUUUUCUCCUCGCGCUAUCCCACGAUCCCCUUCUCCAGUGUGCAGUUUACUCCAGUUUAUGGCUCCAGCAUACAGUGAUGAGUUUACUCUACAGAUGUCUUAAGGCUGCAUGAAUAUGACUGUAGGACUGCUGGCCCCAUGUGGUGCAAUGUUAAAAAGGUGAUGUCACUUAUAUGCCUCUUUUAAUAAACAACACUGUUUUGUAGUAGCCAUAGGACCGAUAGGAGGGUCACAAUCCCAGCAAAAAAAAAUAAACAAAUGAAUAAAAGAAAAAGACUUUAAAGAGUACUAAAACACUUCAGACCAUUAAGUCUUAACAGGGCUGUUAGACAGCAAAGAUUUAAAACUCUUGUCAUUCUGGGAAGGGCUGCAUCCAGGAUUUUCGUAGUAGAGAGUUUACAAUUAAAAUCCCACCAAGGCACUUCCUGUUCUUCCAUAAAAUAUUGGCCAAAUUCAAACAUAACAUAUGUUUGUCCAUGCAUCUGAGAAAAUAUGGAGAGCUUAUCUUAUGAGAGAAAAAAUCAUCUACAGUUAAAUCUUACUUUGAUAUGGCAGCAACAAUUUAGAACUGGCAAGAAAAUCAUCAAGAUUUCUUAAAUAAUUCUAAUAAAUCGUAAUUCUGCUAAGCAAAAAAAAGGCUAAUUUGUUUUUUUUGAAAAAACAAAUAUUGAAAUUUAAGCAUAUGUAGGACAGAUGUUGCCUUUGCCCUGUUCUCUGAAGUAGAAUGAUGACUGCUUGAGACAGUAGAUCACAUUUAUAAGAUGAAAGCUCCAGUUUUUUGAUUUUUUUUAUGGAUGCUGUGCCCUUCUGUAAUAAUGGCCCUCACGCAAGGAACUUUUAUAGUAGAGUCCCUGUGGUCUCUAAGAAGAAUCUGUGCGGGUCCCUGUGGGCAAGUGCAAGACAAGCAAACUAAUACCAUGUUUGUAAAUUUAAUAACAAGAUGUGUGUUCAGUCUGCUGUCUAUAAAUGAUUCUUGCUGAGGCCCUUUGAGAACAGUCAUAUUGGGAUCAGCAAAUUAGUUACAAUGUUACAAUGAUCACUAUUCCGAGCUCCACUGUCCAAAAAGAAAGUAUUGUCCAUGUAACAUUGUUACCGUGACGUGUCACCAACCCCACCCUGAUUUUGUCCCUCCAACAGAGUAACUUGAUGUAGCACUAGACACGCAAGUGUCAUUGGUUGUUAUCCAUGGUGACACAUGUAUGACAGUGAUCAUUGCUACACCAGCAACUUAAAAACUAUCAUGUGUAUAGCGAUGAAUCCUUUGCCAAUUUUUGUGAUAACCGAGGAAGUCUGUAGUCUCCUGAUUUUAAAGACAUGAAUCUGUUUCAUCUGCAAGAGCAUUCAGUACUCGGGUUUGAGCUGUUGAGUUGUGACUCACAACUGUACCCGUGUGCGCUGUUAUAGCUUCCACAAGCUAUAGCCAAUUGAUUUGUCUGCAUCAGUGACACCGAUUGUCAUGAUACCAGCGACAAGUGGGAUUCUAGCGUGACAAGCUGCAGUUGCAACGAAUGAUAAAGCAAGCUGCUGUAAUCCAAGGCACCGUGGGGCUCUUAUCCCUCUCAGAGCAGCACUUGAGGCUGACAUACUGUAAAUGAACCUCGUAAAGCCUGGCUCAAGUCACGACAAGAAUAGAAUUAGCUCUGCACAUGGGUAAUUGUUUCAGAUGAGAUAUUGGCACGCUUUGCCCUUUUAAGAUCAUAAUGUAAACCCCACGAAGUAACUGAUUCUAUUUGAGGGAGCAAUUCAUCCACCACAAGGCCAAAGUACAGCCUAGUGAGGGGCACAUUAUACUGUAUUAUAGUUAAUUAGAAUUCAUGUUAUGCUCUGUUAGGGAUGCAUUGCUAACACAAUCACUGUGGACCAGUAAAAGAAUGCGAUUCAAAAAUCAGACUAUGCCAUUACAGCUAAGAAUUUUAAUUAAACUAUCACAAUUGUGGAAUGAGUUACGGGAAGAUGCCCAAUAUGGGUUUGAGAUCAGCUCAAUAGGUUAUCCUGGGUAUGUUAUCACUAUAUAAUGAGCAGAUAGCUAGACUGUAGUGUUUUUUGUUAGAAUGGUAGCUAGCUAACUCUCAGGAAGCUGUGUACACAGUACUGUAUUAAAGGCUCAAGUGGAAACGAUCAAACACAAGCAAGUCAAAUAUGCGAUUAAAGUCUUUUCAUUGAUGGACUUAAGAUGAGGUCAAAGUUUAAAUGACGCAUUGCUCAGCUGCAUCCCUUGUUAGUAGAGUUUAAAGUAGAAUAGUGCCGGUUUUCCAAGCUGGGCCUUUAAGACAAUAUGACAACAGCCCUUAUGCUGAUUCUAAUGAUGCUGUCCACGCAGGCUCUGCACAGACCCUUUGGCCUAUAUUGAUCACCCACCCGGGCUAGAAGUGCUGGGCCCUCAUUCAAGAAACGUUUCUUUCACUUUAACCAUGAAGUAACUGUACGAGAAAAAGAAAAAAAAAACAAUGCAAAUGAUUGAAAGAGACCUCAUUCAUUUGGUAUAGCAAAACAUAUAUGUUUGCUUUUUAUAUGUGUGUGAUCAUUUGAGAGAACCAGAAUGCUUUUUUUGUAUCUAAAGUUUGCAUAAAGCAGGCAGUAAUGUCUCUCAUGCAGUAUAUAUUGGGAUUUAAAUAUCUCCUAUAGCGUGCAUCUCUCAUUUGGGAAUACUUUCACAGGCCCAGGAUGUAUGUAACGACAAAUCUACAUAAAGAAAAAGAGCACGGGAAGAAAAAAAAAACCCUGAGGCCUAAAUGGUCGAGUCAGGCUUCCAAGCAUCAUUACCUGCGUGAUCAAUGGUCUGGUCUCUUCUCCGGAUACUCUGUUCCUGAGAACUUGACAAUGAACUGAAAAUAUACCUUAACAAGGAACUGACAAUACCUUAACCUUGAUGAGCACAUAUUUGUACCACUUCAGGUGCCUCUAAGAACUCUUGAUUUAAUUCAGAUGUGGUGCAGAACCAGCAAAACAAGUAGUGACACUGUAGUUUUUUCUACUGAAGACUACAUACUCAGACUGAGCUCUGAAGUUAGGUGGGUUUUAUUGCAGAUUUGAGAUCAAUUCAGUUUCAAGUCAAAGAAUUAUAGCUAAAAUAAUAUUGGCUAGUUUUCCCCAGUUAUUUACCUUGCUUUGGGGAAACAUUUUGAUAUUUAAAAAUUUGUUGUUGUUGUUUUUUUGUUUUGUUUGGUUGGUUGGUUUUUUCCAAUGUGCGAUUGGACUGAAUUCACCUCAGUCUUCGAUUACAUCAUCUAAAGACAUGAAAAAGAAUGAAAAGCUAAUAAAAGAGUCAAUGACAAGUCAUUUCCAAUCUCUGGCCACAAAUGAAAGCUUUGUGGAUUAUGUAAAUGCCAUUUCUAUGUCAAUGAUUUCAUCAUCUUUUUAUCAUGUAACAUCAUGUAUAAAGACAUCGUGUUUGGG
ensembl:lncRNA